rnacentral:rRNA from 1 species
UUAUGGUUGCCCCGGUCGUAAGGGACUGCAAAUGAGCGGGAAGUGAAUUUGGAAGAAGGCGAGAAAAGCUGUGUGAAUAGAAGAUAGAGCCCGUACCGCAAACCGACACAGGUAGAUAGGAAGAAGAUUCUAAGGCCAACGGGAGAAGGGUUGUUAAGGAACUCGGCAAGUUGACCCCGUAACUUAGGGAGAAGGGGUGCUCUUUAAGGAGAGCCGCAGAGAAUAGGCCCAAGCGACUGUUUAGCAAAAACACAGCUCUAUGCUAAAUCGAAAGAUGACGUAUAUGGGGUGACACCUGCCCGGUGCCGGAAGGUUAAGAGGAGGAGUGAGAGCUCUGAAUUGAAGCCCCGGUAAAACGGCGGCCGUAACAAUAACGGUCCUAAGGUAGCGAAAUUCCUUGUCAGGUAAGUUCUGACCCGCACGAAUGGUGUAACGAUUUGGGCACUGUCUCAACAACCUGCCCGGCGAAAUUGUAGUACCGGUGAAGAUGCCGGUUACCCGCGACUAGACGGAAAGACCCCAUGGAGCUUUACUGCAGCUUAAUAUUGAAUUUCGGUAUUUCAUGUACAGGAUAGGUGGGAGACAGGGAACCAUAGGCGUCAGCUUAUGGGGAGUCGACCUAGGGAUACCACUCUUGAGGUGCUGGAAUUCUAACCUGUGGCUCUGAAUCGAGUCAGGGGACAUUGUUAGGCGGGCAGUUUGACUGGGGCGGUCGCCUCCAAAAAGGUAACGGAGGCGCUCAAAGGUUCGCUCAGCAUGGAUGGAAACCAUGCUUUUGAGUGUAAACGCAAAAGCGAGCCUAACUGCGAGACUGACGGGUCGAGCAGUAACGAAAGUUGGAGUUAGUGAUCCGGCGGUAUGUGAGUGGAAAUGCCGUCGCUCAACGGAUAAAAGCUACCCUGGGGAUAACAGGCUGAUCUCCCCCAAGAGUCCACAUCGACGGGGAGGUUUGGCACCUCGAUGUCGGCUCAUCGCAUCCUGGGGCUGAAUUCGGUCCCAAGGGUUUGGCUGUUCGCCAAUUAAAGCGGUACGCGAGCUGGGUUCAGAACGUCGUGAGACAGUUCGGUCCCUAUCUGUCGUGGGCGUAGGAUAUUUGAAAGGAGCUGUCCCUAGUACGAGAGGACCGGGAUGGACGCACCGCUGGUGCACCAGUUGUCAUGCCAAUGGCACAGCUGGGCAGCUAUGUGCGGAACGGAUAAACGCUGAAGGCAUCUAAGCGUGAAGCCGACCUUAAGAUAAGAUAUCCCUUCGUAAGAGUAAGACCUCUCAUAGACUAUGAGUUUGAUAGGCCUAAGGUGUAAGCACAGUGAUGUGUUCAGCCUGCAGGUACUAAUCGGUCGAGGGCUUUUCCAA